CGUUACCAAUUGACACAGCUUCACCUGCUCACUCAUCUAUUCGAGAAGCGGCUGCAACUGUCUUGAAGCUCCACUCGCUGAACGCCAGGCGUCAUCAUACUGCUUCGAGACGCGAGUGGAACUGUCUCGAAGCUCCAUUCACUGAACGCCAGGCUUCGUCACACUGCCUCGAGACAGUGGUGGAACUUGCUCGAAGUCUCACUCGCUUCAUCUGUGGCGUCUGUCCAAGCCGUCUGCCCCACCGCUAGCUCAGCAGUUUAACUGCAGACAUAGUGAUAACGGCUACGCGUUCCUCAUCUCUUGUCUUUUAUGUUCGUCCACCGCGUCACUACCAGGACGUCCAGACAACACCGCUCCGGCACACAGGGUAUCGUACUCCCUCCAUUCUCCAGCAUGUCUCCCCUGGGCGUCACGGGGCACCUCAGGGGACGGAGUGGCACUGACCUCCAGAUUCCCCCGGGGCGCCUCUCCCUAGGGUGUCUGGGCGGGCCUCGUGCUCUCCCUGUAACCUCACUGUCCCGGGGUGUGUCUCGGUGGCUCCAUGGAGUCCCUCGCCACGCCCAUGCACGCCCAGGGAAAGGCACCCAGCUCACGAGGAGGCCUGGAAUCAAUACCAACUGGCUCAUCAGAAGUGUUAUGGCGGGCUCUUCUUCAUUCGCGCUGGUCAAAGCAACGCAAACACCACUAUAUAAAGGAGAGAGAGAGAGAGAGAGAGAGAGAGAGAGAGAGAGAGAGAGAGAGAGAGAGAGAGAGAGAGAGAGAGAGAGAGAGAGAGAGAUUAGCUAAGAUGUGUUUGUUUAUCUGGAGAAAGUAAGGAAAUCUGUCUAUCUGUCCAUCAGUCUGUCUGUUUGAGGAAAAAUAUGGAAACGUUUGAUUUGUCUGGGAAAGGAAAAAUUAUGAAUGCUCUCUCUCUCUCUCUCUCUCUCUCUCUCUCUCUCUCUCUCUCUCUCUCUCUCUCUCUCUCUCUCUCUCUCUCUCUCUCUCUCUCUCUCUCUCUGGUGUGUGAAAGGAGAAUCGCUCAAUACUUACAGAACAGGCGUGAAAUUCUACCUUCCUCGGCUUGAAUGUUAAGAAAUAAAUAGAGAACAAUACUCCCACGAGGACACGUGAUAUAAAAGAGAACACUUGCACUCCCAAACAGGUGGUGUGGGAGGGCAGGUAAGUGAUGUCAGUGUGAGUGAUCUGAAGUUAUGAACGUUAAAUGAAGUGUGAAGAAUAAGUGAAAAGAAGACACCCAGAAGAGCUUUUUAUGUAUUGGUGAAGUCAGCCAAAGAAAGGAAAAUAAAUUGAUAAUAAAUGAAUAAGUAGAUGAAUAAUAAAUAAUAAUGAAUGGAGUGUAAAGAAUAAAUGAAAAAAAAAACAUCCAGAAGGAUUUUUUUUUAUGUAUUAGCGAAAUCAGUUAGGGAAAAAAGGAAAAUUUAAUACAAAUAAAGAUA